GCCGAGACAAUCGAUCGGCAUUUAGUGAGGUUUCUUCUCGCCGAUAAGAGAGCGAGGAACAUUUCGAGAAGAAGGACCUUUAUUUUUGUUUUCCAAAAUGUGUGGCGGAUUUACGUGCUCGAAAAACUCGUUGUUAGCCCUUAACAUCUUAUAUGUUAUUGUGGCAUUCAUCCUAUUUGGGGUCGCAGCUGCUGCCAAUGCGGCCUCCAUUGUCACAUCGCUGUCACUGGUUUCUGGAAUUAUUGUCUGUGGUGUUUUCUUAUUAAUCAUAUCCAUAGUGGGUCUCAUUGGAGCAAGUAAACAUCAUCAGGUGUUGCUGUUCUUCUACAUGAUUGUUUUGUUCAUCAUCUUCAUCAUCCAGUUCUCUGUGGCCUGUGCAUGCCUCGCUAUGAACGAACAGCAGCAGCAGACUUUCGCUAGGAAGGGUUGGGAAUUCUCCAACAACUCCACUAAACGCGAUGCACAGAAGUUCUUCGGCUGCUGCGGCUUCGAGAAAUACAGCAAAAAUAUGACUGAUAAUAUGAAUCACCCAUCCUGCGUUGAUAUUAAAAACAAAAAUGACCAGUUCUGCUGUGGAGACCCAGCGACAGCCGAUGAUGCAACAUGUUGCCGUGGCGAGAACAGCACAGCCUGUUCGUGCGAAACCUGCGCGGAACCAAUCCAGGAGUCGAUGGUUAAGGGCCUGAACCUGGUGGGCGGCAUUGGACUCUUCUUCUCAUUUACAGAGUUUCUCGGUGUGUGGCUCACGGUGCGGUACAGGAACCAACGGGACCCCCGAGCUAACCCUUCGGCCUUCCUGUAGAGCGAUGGGGUCUGUUUUAGCCCCCACUCUCAUUCUCACUAACAUAUCAGAUCAUUGGCUUCCUCAUCGCCAAGCAGUAUCGACACCAAGUGGACCCCAGAGCCAACAUCCAGUCGCUUCUGCGAUAGUUUUGUUAAAGUCUCUUGGAUAGUUUGGUUCUGGUAUUGAAAAAUGUGCACAUAUAUGAAUAUAUAUGUAUUUACAUAUAUCAUUAUGGUACAUUCCUUGGCACCCAUCCCCCUUAUCCCUAUUUUCCUCUCCAGUCAUACUCUCACCAUAAUUAUCACUCAGUCAACAUGGUUUUCAUGAUGUGAAAUGUGUGGAAUUACGUAGCUCUCUGGAAUCCGGGAAGAGCAAUACUCGCAUCCCUUUCCCACCAGCCCUCCCUCCCCUUCCCUUCCCACUCCUUGUGACCCCCCCCCCCCUCCAUAGCACUGUUUAACAAGAGGAAAAUCCUGCUAGAAGCAUUUUAAUCAUUAUAUUCGUUCUUUUAGUUGAUUGUGGUAUGACACUUUUUGUCAGUUUUAUUUAUUUAUUCAUCAUAAUUAUUAUUAUUAUUAUUUUUUAUUUAUUUAUUUAUUUAUUUAUUUUUGUCUUUUCUAUGCACACCACGACCUCUAGUCCCUCAUGUAUAGAGCCCUCCAUUCAAGUUUAAGUGUGAUGCAUUAAAAUUUGUUCUUCAAUGUGUCAAUUUUUUUUUUUUUUUUUUUUUUUUUUUUUAUAUUGCAACUGCUGAAUUGGUAACAGUUGUUGAUUUUUGUUAUUUUUGUUUGUAUGUGGAAUGAUAGUGUUGAUUUUUUUUCUUGUUUUUCUGGAUACAUUAUUUAAGAAUUUGAAUGUGGGUGAUGGUGUAUUAAUGUUAUUGGAUAUUUAGUAUAGUAUGGAAGACCUCCUUUAUUUAGAUUUUUUCUUGUCAUUAUAUAUGGAAUCUUAAAUUUCCAUUUGCCAUAUCUGUAAUGUUCUUUAUUUGUGCAAUACUUUAAAGAAACUACAAUAUUCAGGUCUUUUCUUCUUCUUUUUUAUUGCAACUUCAAAAUUAAUACCUUCUCUCCUUCACUUACAUAAGAAUUUGGAUGCUUAUAUUUUCUUGAUAAUUUUUGAUUAAUUAUCAUUGGCAUUUAAAUUAUUUCAACUGUACUUAUCUUUCCAAUGGAGUGCAAGUUUUCCAGUCUUGCUUUUUUUGAGGCCAAAAGCAUAGUAAUCUUGCUAAGUGAAGCUGCCAGAUUAUUAUUGCAUUCAGACGUGGGAAUUUUUCAAGUCCCACAACAUUGCUAUUUGGAAGAAUCUUAGCCUGAGUAUUGAGAAUAGAACAGAGAAAUUGUUUUGUAUAAAGCAGUUCAAAUAAUUGUGUUCAAGCUAAAGCAAAAGAAAAGAAAGUCUAUUUUUUCUGUGAGAAUAUUGAUUAAUAAAAAAUAAGGUUGAAUAACAAUGAAUGGAUCAAAUGUAUGUGCCUGACUUGUAAAGAAACUCUAUAAUGUGGUGAACAAUCUAAUAAAUAACGUUACAUAUUAUGUAUAUUGAAUAGAUGUGACAUUGGUGUCUUGGAUGCAAAAAAUAAGUAUGAAAUUCAAAUUAUGGAAAUUAAACUCAGUAACAUCAGUACAGAUGUCUAUUCACUCUGCAUUUUAUGGAUCGAACAAUUCCCCUUCCCCCCUUUAAGCAGAAUUUGUGUUAGAUGACUGUGUUUAGAAUGUAAUAAUUGUACAUCCCCUUAUAGCUGUUAAGAAUAUUUCCCCAGGUCCUUGGGUAGUGUUCUUGAAGCACUGGUUCAACCUUGCCAGGAUGUGUCACUAGUGGCCAUACUUUUACAGCAGUACCGUAUAUUGUAAUCCAGUUACAGUGUUUCCGUAUAACACAUGAGCUUGUGGUUAGUUAGCAUGGCUCACUAUGUGUGAUGGAUUAAUAUUGUUGUUGUUAUGUAGUCCUUUCCUGUAUUCAGCCAAUAGACCACUUUUAUAAGGCUAAACACAGUAAAAGAGAAAGGAGACACAAGACAUUCACAUUUCCAAAUGAAUUGAAAGUUUAUAAAAAGAAUUCUCUUCUUUGCAAUGUACAUGUGAUCAUAUUUAAUUGUUGGAACAUGACAAACAUUCCAUACUUUGGGUACUGUGUGUAUGAUAAAUUUAUUAUAACUGACAAUCAGCAGGUAAUGACAUCUCAAGUUAUACUAAUGUCCUUUGAGGUGAUCUGUUGGUGUUCAAGAUAAUCAGUUGUAUCAUGUAGUGUAUAUUUGAAAUAUGUAUAUGAGGCUUCCCGAUGUAGUUAAGUGGAUUUACAGUUAUGACAUUAAUUGUUAAAUGUUUAUUAGCUUUUCCGUUCAUGGUGCUUCUCUUUCCGAAAUUUCAUUGUAAGGGUCUGUUGGGCUGUCAUCGAAACUCAUCUUCAAGGUCUCAUAUUAGUCUACGAUGUCCAUUACUGAAUCUUUUGGGCAGAUCAUUCUGGUUGUCAUUUCUCAAAACGAAUCGUGCCCAUACAGAACAGUAUUAUACCAACUGUUAUCACAUCCAAGAGAAUGUUACAGUGUUCAAAGAAAGACUUUUGAAAGACUUUUUAAAAUAAUUUUUUGAUGUCCUUGAUUAAUGGGAUAUUUGUGUAUAUGCCUCUAGUCAUUAUUCUUCACUUGUUUGGAGCCACAUGAACAAUUUAAUAAAGCCCAUAUUUGACCA